AUGAAGCUUCUUUGGGUGAUGAUCUACUAGCAGAAAAAAAAAGUAACAGCUAUACUUCAGACGCACAACAAAUAUACAAUUCGAAAACUGCAUGCAAAAUGGGGGACAUUGCUAACGUACCGAUGAAAACUAAUGCAACAAAACCAGGGUGUUAGUGUUCUAGUGUCUUUCAUUCACUUUCAUUCCGUAUUUUCCUUGGGAAAACAUGCUAGAACUUCUAUAUCUAUACCUAUAAUAAUUACGGACUUCCUAAAAAUUAUUACGUUAAUUAAAAUUUACGAGCCGUUCAUCUGAAUGGGACCAAACUAUUACGGUGGAGAUUAACCGAUGUAAUCCUCGGUUUGUUAUGUGCUUAAUUCGGCCCAAAAAGAAAAGUCUGAAGGCCCACAAUCUAUCACAACAGUUGUACGAAUAGAAGGCAUACUCCCGUAUCCCUAACCUCACGCCCACCAUCCCACACACCGCCUGCCAUGGAUCCGCCGCCGUCCUGAUCUCCGAUCGUUGUCGUCGCUCCCUGUUCCAUCCGCGGCCGCUCCUCACCACAUCCACCCUCCAUCGCAUCCCACUGCCUCCAUAGCCACAUUGGAUCAUCUCUCUCCUUGGUAAUCUCUCUUAGAUCAGCACGCGGUGGUGGGUGCUUCCGAUCGCGUGGUGGCGACGCGGCUGGUCGGGGAACGAGGGUGAGGUAGACUGUGUCCAUUCAUUCAUCUUCCCCACCUCCUGUUCUUCCUCUCCCAUCGAAUGCGAUAAGUGCUCUCCUCUCCUGCUGCAGUGUGGUCUAUAGGUGACAACAAUGGUGUUCUGUUGUGCCCCUCCACUCUUCGGACCGCCGAGGCGCAGAAGUACCCGGAGAAGAUCGCGCUCCAUGUAGCAAAUUCGGCCAUGUUCUGAGUGGCUGCCCGGAACUUGGGUUGAAUGGAUUCACAGGUGUGCUAGGUGGAGUGCCACUGGAUUGCCAUGUUAGUGGCAGAAUCCACUCUCCUGCACACAUGAACUUGGGUUUACCAAGGAACUGGGUUGAUACUUCCAUCUUUUGGCUUCGCAAUGGUGAUUAAGAUACUUUUGUUUUUUAGAAUCAUGUUGAUUUAGUUAGUUUGUUAACAGGUGCUUCAGUUAGGACUAAUAGCCGAGAGUGGUCGACAAGAUUGAAUUUGGCAGAGUACAAUACAAUUUUGUUAUAAUUGGUGGUUUAGUUAGUUUUUUUAAAUGGUUCAUGGGCUCAACUACUAUUUAGCUUACUACAGUAUAGUUGUGUCGAUUGUUGAUGAUGAAUAAUACCCAAUGAUUGCUUUCUGGUGCCCACUGUACUAUAGUUUACUACGGAGAACUUGAGCUUUUUUUGCCAAGAAACUGUCUAUGCUAAUUCCCACAAGGAGUAAUUCAUUCCACAUCCAAGUAUUUAUUGUUGAUCAUUGAUGCUUCAUCUGUUUAUGCUGCAGAAACAAGGUCACAUGAAUGAUUAGCAUCUUUCGGCAGAAGCAUGUUAAUUAAUUGAAGAAAUACCACUGCUCCUAUGACUAUGAGCGUAAUCCAAUCCUGAUUUUUUAGGACCACUUUAGGAUGUGAUCAUUAGUGUGGCUUCAAAGCUGCUUGAUAUGGCAUAACGUUUGAUUUUUACUAAUCUUAAAGCCGAGCCUAAGCAAUGUUAAGUAGACUUCAUUGAAUUCUUAAUAAGGAAAUUCCACAAUCUGAUGUGUGUGUCAUAGGAUUAGCGUUGUUUGAAUAAUUUCUUCUUCUUACCAAUCAGGCUGAUGAUUUUAACUGUAGAUGCAGAAUCUGUGCUGGAUGUUCAUCAGCAGUGCCAGUUAAGGGUUCAGGCUCCUACGGCACUCAUGUCAUCAGCCAUAUGGAUGUGCGUGUAUAUGACAGUUUGCUCGAACGGCGUUAUGCCUUCAACUGCAACUAAGGCCACCACACUACUUCAUCGAUAAUUUAUUUUCUAUAGGACUGGGAUUAAUAAUCUCCAACAAUAUGGUCAUGCUUCUUAUAUUUACUUUCAGUUCUAAUACAUUUGUGAUUUUCUGUAUGUUGUACCACCAAAGUAUGUGUGCUAAACCAAACAUGACAUCUAUGCCUUUUCAGGUAUGCAUGCAUGUUUCAAGAGAAUAUAUCUAAUAUGUAGUAUAUAGAAAGGUACCUAAAAUGUUUGGCUUAUAUUGCAGAAUCUUGAAAAUAUACAGUCGUUUUACUUUUUUUUCUAUGAACCUUGGGAGCUUGGGAUGAAGUAUGGUGUCAAUAAUCAGUAUAUACGAGAACAAUAUUUUUGUGAUAUUGUAUAUACUAAAUUUUUGAUAAUGGAGUAUAUACCACAUUUUUGCCAUGGACUCUAUACCACAUUUUUGAAUUGGUUAGAAUAGCUGACGCCAUUUUUCAUCUUCGUUGUGUUAUAUGCUACCAUCAAAAGGAGUAUAUAAGGUACUAAUUUCAAGCAUAUAUUUACUGUACUGUAUUUGUCUAUAUGCAUCUACAACCAAGCAGUAUGUACACUGCUCUUUGUGCACAGUAUGUAGCAUACGAAAUUAAAUCAAAAGGGUAUAACUUUUUAAUGAAGUAAGUAUAUACUCUUUUUGCGAUGCAGUAUAUACAACAUUUUUUGUAAGGCAAUAUAUAGUACUUUUUUUGUGAACCAGUGUCUACUUUUAAUCAGUAGAUCUUUUAGUAGAUAUAUACUACUCUUCUUGAGUCGGUGUUCUUGAUAUAAAGGGUAAAGCAGUGCGCACAUGCCACAUCACAGCCGUUGUUGACUAGAUGGUGGUAUCGCUACGUGGAUCUAUCAGUGCACGCCAUGCCGCCACCGUUUAUUGUUGCCGUUGUCGACGAGAUUGGUAGUGCGAUCGCAUGGAUUGAUCAGUGCACACCAUCGCAUGGAUUGAUCAGUGCACGCCAAGCCUCCGCGUUGUCGACGAGAUGGUGUCGUUUUAUUGAUUGAUUAGUGCACCUACUCAUUAACAUCACAUCCGCUAUGUGACUAGCUGUGUCAAUGGAUUUGCACCUCGAUCCAGAUUGCUUUCAUGCAAAGCUUAUCAUGUUUACCUCUUGUGAUGGAAUAGGCAGGCACACGAGAAGACCUGAUCGAAGACGCUCAUAGUCCGAGGUAAAUACUCCUUCCAUGCAAGCUUUCAAAUAGUUUUCUUUUCUUUUGAACACUGUAAAUUUGUUUUAAAAAUGGUGGUAACAAAUUUGUUAAAUUAUUAGUGGGAGAGACCCCCAACUAAUAAUAUAAGAACAAGAGUAGGCUAGGAAAAACAUACAACAUCAUUAAGCGGCAGUAUCAUUGGAAACAUUGCACACUAUUAUUGAAUACUGAUGGUCAUGAUGCUAAGUACUUCUUCCUCCAGGCCUGAAAGAGAUAACUAAUUCUCCACCAUCUCUUCCUUUCACAGUUAAAAACAGUCUCAAGUAAUCCUGCGGCAUGUCUUCUCUUCGGCCACCUACCACCCAAUGCAAGCUAACCCAUGUCUCCCAAAACCAAGUUGGGGCAUGGAUCCGCUGUGCUAAAGGAGCUUAUUGACUCAAAACCGUUUUCCUCAUCUGUAUUAGUGUUCUGCUAUGCAAGGAUGCAGUCUUGGCUCUUCUCAUAUACAACCUCUGGAUACCUCUGGAGAUUGGUGGGAGCAUAAUAUUCUCACGUACAACCUAUGGAUACAUAAUGGACAUCGGUCGGAGCAUAACUAUGCUCAUGAGGCGAGCCUAUAAAUUAAACCUGCUACCUUAACAGAAGACAACAACAUGAAUGAGCCUAAUGUCAGUUGUCAACGUCGUCACUGGUCAAAUUACUAAUCAAUUUUUGUAUCGACAAAACAUGUCGAAGACCCUAUGUGGGAGAGUUAACAUCGUCAAUGGUCUGCCCCAGUCUCCAGUUCUGGCUAAUGUUGUUGCUUGAAUUGCUGAUCCACCAGAGUCUCAUGUUCAAGGGAGUUCCUUGCCAAGCUGCCAUGUCCUGACUGUUGUAUGUUAGGUCAUGAAUUUUCUUCUAACUCCUUUUCAGCCAGCAGAUAGUGCAGAUAGUUAUAGUGUGAAACACUUGACAAUGUAGCUCUCUGUCGACUACUACAACAUUGAGGGUUUCUGUUAUAAAGCUGAAUAUCUAUUUUUUCUGGGCAA